CCUACGGGAGGCAGCAGUGAGGAAUAUUGGUCAAUGGGCGAGAGCCUGAACCAGCCAAGUCGCGUGAAGGAUGACGGCCCUACGGGUUGUAGACCUCUUUUGUCAGGGAACAAUUGAGUCCACGUGUGGGCUUAGCGAGAGUACCUGAAGAAAAAGCAUCGGCUAACUCCGUGCCAGCAGCCGCGGUAAUACGGGGGAUGCGAGCGUUAUCCGGAUUAUUUGGGUUUAAAGGGUGCGUAGGCGGAAUAUCAAGUCACCGGUAAAAAUUCGGGGCUCAACCCCGUCGGGCCGUUGAAACUGGGGUUCUUGAGUGGGCGAGAAGUAUGCGGAAUGCGUGGUGUAGCGGUGAAAUGCAUAGAUAUCGCGCAGAACCCCGAUUGCGAAGGCAGCAUGCCGUCGCCCAACUGACGCUGAAGCACGAAAGCGUGGGUAUCGAACAGGAUUAGAUACCCGAGUAGUC
rnacentral:rRNA from 1 species